UACGGGGGGGGUAAGCGUUGUUCGGAAUUACUGGGCGUAAGGGGCUCGUAGGCGGCCAACUAAGUCAGACGUGAAAUCCCUCAGCUUAACUGGGGAACUGCGUCUGAUACUGGAUGGCUUGAGUUUGGGAGAGGGAUGCGGAAUUCCAGGUGUAGCGGUGAAAUGCGUAGAUAUCGGGAGGAACACCAGUGGCGAAGGCGGCUUUCUGGUCUGUAACUGACGCUGAGGCGCGAAAGCGUGGGGAGCAAACAGG
rnacentral:rRNA from 1 species